rnacentral:misc_RNA from 1 species
CAUUAGCGUAAUUUUAACGCGUUAAAAUAAAUUAAUACAUAAUUUCGUCAUUUACGUUUAUUACGUUGGUCUACGUUUUUUCAUCUACGUCAUCUACGGCACCUACGCGAAUCUUAUUAAUUACGUCUUUGGCAGUGUUCGUUGCUAUAAAUGAAACUUAAUAGUUGUUGAAACCGCUCGAAAGUCGUGUUCCUAAAUCAUUCCCUCGUCUCGUAUCGUGUUCAUCAAAUGGAAAAGGAGAUUGUGUUUUAAUGAAAUCGCUUGUUACUAUCAAUCUUGCUGUGUCACUCGCAUAGGAGAUGAAAGUGAGGAAGGAGAAAAAAAUUAAGCUAAAUUCCACAAAAACAAGAAAUAUACUUCCAACGUGUUUUCACGUGUCUCUAGCAAAGAUCUCAAAAACAAGUUGCGGCGCAAUUUAAAACGACAAAUAGCACCGUGUGUCUCGUUGUGGCAACGCACGCUUCGUCAGCUUUUUAAAAGCGCUCUCUGUCUGCUUUUUUCUCUCUUCACCGCCUAUUCGUUUUUUCUUAACGAGUGAAACCGUUUUUACGAGGACGGGAGCACAGAAAUGACGUACUGGCAAUUCUGUUUCGUGAUGACACAAGCAGCCCGGUUUCAGUGAAUUAAACCUGGCCCCAAGCUUCCAAUUAUCUCUCCCUUCCUUUCCUUUAUUUUUCCCUUCUAUAUCGAGUUUGAGGUUUUCUAAAUUUCCAUUACAAUCAACUAUGGCUUUUCU